UACGAAGGGGGCUAGCGUUGUUCGGAAUUACUGGGCGUAAAGCGCGUGUAGGCGGCCCGUUAAGUCGGGGGUGAAAGCACAGAGCUCAACUCUGGAAUUGCCUUCGAUACUGGCGGCCUGGAGCAUGAUAGAGGCGAGUGGAAUUGUGAGUGUAGAGGUGAAAUUCGUAGAUAUUCGCAGGAACACCAGUGGCGAAGGCGACUCGCUGGAUCAUUGCUGACGCUGAGACGCGAAAGCGUGGGGAGCAAACAGG
rnacentral:rRNA from 1 species